GCUACCUGGCAGGGGUUAGAGCUGGGCAGGGACUGCAGAGGAGCAGGCUGCACCAGUGGCUCUCCCGGACCCUGCAGUAAUGACCCUGCCAAGCUGACACAACGCUCCCACCUGGGGGACCACUGCGGCUUUCCAAUGACAGAUGGAGGGCUGCUGAGACAGGGGAGCUGGGCUGGAUCACUGCAGGCUCACAGAGCAACCAUUAGACCAGCCAGUGUGCCAGCAUGUCUUUGUGUUGGCGGCACCUUUGCCUGAGCAGCGGAGGUUUCCUGUCAGAGUUGCCAGGUGCCGUGUUUACAGAGACCGUUGCCUGGAAACACAUUCCAAACAGCGCUAGGAUAUGAGGACGAGGGAGCAGCGGUGAGAUUCACGGAUAAUGGCUGACCAGUCACCAACAGAGAAACAACGACAAGAGGAGGAAACUAGUGAGGGAUGCUAAAACUUUACAGAAGAAGCUGAAUGAAAGAGACAUCUACCAAAUUGAAGAGAACACACAAAGCAACCACAAACUACUACAUGGAAUGGGCUUCAACAGUGUUACAGGACUGGUUGACAGGGUGGCACUGUAAACAACCAUCACACCUCUCUGUGAAGGGGGGUGAGCUGAUGUCAGCACAACUGAAAGUCUCCCUCCAUCAUGUAGCUACAUGAGGCCCGGGCAGCAUCCAUCACUCCCCCUGCUGCAGCUACAGAGAGGAGCCUUGUCGCCAGCACAAAGCCUACAGCAAGGUGGCCGAGAGAGACGUACAUCAUCCUGAGCUUCAGCACCAGUCAAAAGCCAAGUCGGGCCUUGGUCGUCACCCAUGUUCCAUCUGGCCGUAUUAUUUGGUGGCCGAGGCACACGUGUGGAUAUGAAAGCCAGAACUUCUGACAACAAGCCAUUGUUUGAAUGCAGGGUGACCCAACCAGCUGCAGACCCCCUGACACCCAAAACAGGGCUUGUCACCUUAGUGUAGAAAUCCAGUGUGCAGGCACAGCAUGAGGAGUGAGUGAUUCUAUCUGAUGCACUGAGAGCUGAGCGGCCCUCCCUCUGGGCAGUUCAGCCUUGCCUGACUAGGAAGAGAGGGAAGAGCUUGUGUGCGCUGGCGUGCGUGCGUGUGUGUGCGUGUCGGGAGGGGAGACAUUGUUCCUUGACGUCACCGCUCAGCCCAGCCUGCCGCUGCUCUCAAACACGUCUUUGUUAUUCCGAGGCUUCCACCAGAGACCGGCCAUCCGCAAAACACGGAGACCCGCCUGCAGAGCUGCUGGAGCGGGGCGGAGGUUGAAAAUGGUUCACAGAGAAACACGAGCACGCAAACGCACAUACCACGUGCACUAAUA